rnacentral:rRNA from 1 species
UACAGAGGGUGCAAACGUUGUUCGGAAUUACUGGGCGUAAAGCGCGUGUAGGCGGCCCUGCAAGUCGGGUGUGAAAUCCCAUGGCUCAACCAUGGAAGUGCACUCGAAACUGCAGGGCUAGAGUCCUGGAGAGGAAGGUGGAAUGCUUGGUGUAGAGGUGAAAUUCGUAGAUAUCAAGCGGGAACACCGGUGGCGAAGGCGGCCUUCUGGACAGUGACUGACGCUGAGACGGCGAAAGCGUGGGGAGCAAACGGGG